rnacentral:rRNA from 1 species
GGGUAAACGUACUCGGUGGAUGCCCUGGCAGUCAGAGGCGAUGAAGGACGUGCUAAUCUGCGAAAAGCGUCGGUAAGGUGAUAUGAACCGUUAUAACCGGCGAUGUCCGAAUGGGGAAACCCAGUGCAAUUCGUUGCACUAUCGUUAACUGAAUACAUAGGUUAACGAGGCGAACCGGGGGAACUGAAACAUCUAAGUACCCCGAGGAAAAGAAAUCAACCGA